UUAAAACGCUGGGGGAGUUCCGACUGAGAGCAGCCUUGCUGGUUGCGACCCUUAGUACCUGAUCCGGGUAAUGCCGGCGUAGGGAAGCGCUACCGAAUAACA
rnacentral:ncRNA from 2 species